UGGCUGUCGUCAGCUCGUGUCGUGAGAUGUUGGGUUAAGUCCCGCAACGAGCGCAACCCUUAUCCUUUGUUGCCAGCACGUAAAGGUGGGAACUCAAAGGAGACUGCCGCAGACAAUGCGGAGGAAGGCGGGGAUGACGUCAAGUCAUCAUGCCCCUUAUGUCCUGGGCUACACACGUACUACAAUGGGCUUAAACAAAGCGAAGCAAACCUGCGAAGGUAAGCCAAACGCAUAAACAAGCUCUCAGUUCGGAUCGGAGGCUGCAACUCGCCUCCGUGAAGUCGGAAUCGCUAGUAAUCGCAGGUCAGCAUACUGCGGUGAAUACGUUCCCGGGCCUUGUACACACCGCCCGUCACACCACGAAAGUUGGAAACACCCGAAGCCGGUGGGGUAACCGUAAGGAGCCCACCGUCUAAGGUGGGGCCGAUGAUUGGGGUGAACUCCUAACAACGUACCCGUAUCCGAACGUGCCGCUGGAUCACCUC
rnacentral:sRNA from 1 species